AACAAGAGUGUCGUAGUGUUGCAGAUAUCUCGACUGUCUUGGGUGUAAAUUUCUUACUGAAAACAGACAAAUGGUCAUGUAUAGAUUGGUAGCUGAUCCAUCACACAAUUUUGUAAAUUGCUAUUUUUUUUUUUGGGAUCAACUUGCUAUAUCUCUAGGUGUGUGUAAUACUCGCCAUCUUGUCUCAUUGUCAUGUCAUCGUUCUUUUCUCUUGAAGUGGUUUGAACCAAUUAGUUCAUUGCUUAGGUAACUACGAUUUUGAUCACAAUAUGAAAUUGAUCUAUUUUGCCGUCUUCAUACACAUGAGUGAUUUCAUGUUCGAAAUUUUCAGCUUCCUGAAUUUUCUAUCAUUAUUUGUAGGUCCUCCUGCUAAGAAGCCAUGGGGAACUCCUAAAGAAAAACAGUCAUCAGUGAAAAGGGAAGCCAAUGGUUCGAAGAGAGUGCAUCAAAAUGCUAUCCUUCUUAGCAUCGUCAGACACGUGUAGGUCGAGGGCUAAACGAUACGCUGAAACCUUGGCAUCCAUUGCGACUCUUGGGCAUUCCUACAUGCCGCAUUCCCCAUCCAUGAAACACACACUUCAUGCUUUUGAUGAUGAAUGACUUCAUGGAGGAAAUAUCACGUAUGCGGCUGGAGUAUGCUAGCUGUGUUGCCACUAUCCACCAUGAAGAAGAGAAGAUGAUGCUGGAACUGUUAAUCGCCGCUUCACAAGAGCCCAACUAAGGAGAAUGAGCGCUCAACGGUGUGACAAUACGCGCUGAAGAAGUUAUAGUGGUGGUGUUAAGUGUUGUGUUAAAUGAUACUCUCCUUUGAUUCAUAUUAAUUGACUCAACUUUAUCUAGAUAUGGAUGUAGAUAUAUUUGUUAACUAGAUACAUCUAGAUCUUGACAAAGUUGAGUCAAUUAAUAUGAAUCGGAGGGAGUAGAUGAUCAUCUAUCUCUCGUAAGAUGAUCAUCUCUCUAUCAUAAGCUUAGUACUAAGAAUCAGGAAUAUUGUUUAGGCAUGAUGUAUGGAUGUGUUAUCGUGUCUCCUACCUAUGAUUGGAGCAUAGGAAUGAUAUGAAAGCUAAGUAGUGGUGACAUCAA